rnacentral:rRNA from 1 species
GACGAACGCUGGCGGCGUGCUUAACACAUGCAAGUCGAACGGAAAGGCCCCUUUGGGGGCACUCGAGUGGCGAACGGGUGAGUAACACGUGAGUAACCUGCCCUUGACUUCGGGAUAACUUCAGGAAACUGGGGCUAAUACCGGAUAGGAAUCCUUGCUGCAUGGUGGGGGUUGGAAAGCUUCGGCGGUUUUGGAUGGACUCGCGGCUUAUCAGCUUGUUGGUGGGGUAGUGGCUUACCAAGGCUUUGACGGGUAGCCGGCCUGAGAGGGCGACCGGCCACAGUGGGACUGAGAUACGGCCCAGACUCCUACGGGAGGCAGCAGUGGGGAAUAUUGCACAAUGGGCGGAAGCCUGAUGCAGCAACGCCGCGUGCGGGAUGACGGCCUUCGGGUUGUAAACCGCUUUCAGCAGGGGCGAAGCUUGUGGUGACGGUACCUGCAGAAGAAGCACCGGCUAACUACGUG